GGGGACCAACAAAUGACAGGGAAAAAAACAACAACAACAACAACAAAGGCCAGAUUUUUAAGUUAAUUUGAACUGAUUUUGUUUUGAUAUUUGAUUUUAUUACAGCGCUCGCUAGCCUAGAAACCCGGGUUUUGUUUAGUCUAAAGAGCUCCCAUGGUUGCAGAGCCAUGGGGGCCAAGGCCAAGAGCUGUGCCACGGACAGGACGAGGUAUUUGUGUUUGAGCCAUACCCUUAUGAAUCCUUUUCUUGCAUUUUACUGUGUUUGUUAACAAUCACCGAGCAUGCAGAAGUACUUCAUAUCUUGGGAAAAGGAAGCUUCAGUUGGAAAUCCAGAGCCCUGAGCCUUCUCAUCGUGGUAUCGCAGAUGCAGUACCCAUCCCUGAGAUUCCUGGAGGUACUAAAAUCUCCGAUGAGAUCACAAGUCCAGCAGCACAGCUGUGUAGAUUUAGUGUGAGCGCUGCGAGGGAGCCCAGGAGGGCAUAUCUAUAUCUGAGUGUGUGUCUGCUGAUCACGGUGUGAGGAAACCAGUAGGCGCAAUGCUACACCCCAGGAGCACCAACCCCAGUGACAGCCUGACAGCAUCAUCGCCACAGACAUACAGCCUACAGUUCAAAGCUGCACUGUUUUUUUCCCAGCGAGCUCAGUGGCUUCAAUGCUUGAGCAACGCAUCUCUUCGAACCUUGCCUGGCUCCCGUCCUCAGAUCAUCCCCGCUUGCAGAAAGCUAAAUCACAACCAGUUACUCAUCGUGACCGAGGGAGCAGCUCACAUUUGCUGAGGCACUGCAGCAAAUGGACGGAGCGCAGACUAACCCAAACAUUUCCAUUAUUAGAGCACACCAGCCAGGGUUCCACGGGACGGGAGUAAAACCACGCCGGAGCGCCUCAAACAGAUUGCAUGUGAUCUCCUAUCAUCUUAUAGAUGUAUUUUCUCCAUUCUCUGGUUUCAUCGCGGUCUCGCUGCCCCAGCGGAGGGAUUUUGCUGGUGAGGGUGUUUAUCUUACACAGAGCAAACCACUCAGCCACUCCAAAGCUGGGAGCGUUUGCACAAUCAAUUUAACAUUGACAAAAUUAGCCAAACGCAGAGAUAUCGUAUGGGGGAUGUUGAGUUUCUCGCUGACAUUUGACCAAAGUAUUUUUUAAAGCAGUCAGUUUAUUAAUCCCAUUAAAUCCCUUUGCCUAUUAUUCUAUUAA
ensembl:lncRNA